UACGAAGGGGGCUAGCGUUGCUCGGAAUCACUGGGCGUAAAGGGUGCGUAGGCGGGUCUUUAAGUCAGGGGUGAAAUCCUGGAGCUCAACUCCAGAACUGCCUUUGAUACUGAAGAUCUUGAGUUCGGGAGAGGUGAGUGGAACUGCGAGUGUAGAGGUGAAAUUCGUAGAUAUUCGCAAGAACACCAGUGGCGAAGGCGGCUCACUGGCCCGAUACUGACGCUGAGGCACGAAAGC
rnacentral:rRNA from 1 species